GAUGAAGAACGUAGCAAAUGCGAUACUUGGUGUGAAUUGCAGAAUCCCGUGAACCAUCGAGUCUUUGAACGCAAGUUGCGCCUCAAGCCAUUAGGUUGAGGGCACGUCUGCCUGGGCGUCACAUAUCGUUGCCUGAUGCCAGUUUCCUCGUGAUGGGUGACUGUGCAGGGCGAAUGAUGGCUUCCCGUGAGCAUUGUUGCCUCAUGGUUGGUUGAAAAUUGAGUCCUUGGUAGGGAGCGCCGUGAUAGAUGGUGGUUGAGUGACGAACGAGACCCAAUCAUGUGAGACCCCUACCGAAUUUGGCCUUCAUGACCCACAUGCGUCUUUGGAACGCUCAUGACGAGACCUCAGGUCAGGCGGGGCUACCCGCUGAGUUUAAGCAUAUCAAUAAGCGGAGGA
rnacentral:misc_RNA from 1 species